ACGCUGGCGGUGUGCUUCACACAUGCAAGUCGAACGAGGUAGCAAUACCUAGUGGCGGACGGGUGAGUAACGCGGUGGGAAUCUGUCCUUUAGAGUGGGGGAUAACGGGUCGAAAGACUCGCUAAUACCGAAUAUGACGAAAGUUGAAAGGAGUAAUCCGUCUAAAGAUGAGCCCGCGUCCGAUUAGCUAGUUGGUAGAGUAAAAGCCUACCAAGGCGACGAUCGGUAGCUGGUCUGAGAGGAUGAUCAGCCACAAUGGGACUGAGACACGGCCCAUACUCCUACGGGAGGCAGCAGUGGGAAUUUUACGCAAUGGGCGAAAGCCUGACGUAGCGACACCGCGUGAGCGAAGAAGCCCCUUGGGGUGUAAAGCUCUGUCAGCUGGAACGAAAAAAUGACGGUACCAGCAGAGGAAGCAUCGGCUAACUACGUG
rnacentral:rRNA from 1 species